GUGAAUGUCUCUGAAUGAUUAUAAUAGUGCUAUUAUGGGAGUACAGUACCAUUUAGAAGGUAACAAUGUUGGCUUGAUACUUUAAACUUUAUUAAUUAAAGAGGGGAAUAUUUGAUGGCUAUUACUAGAUGCCUGGGUUCACUCCCCAUGUGAGAGGAGGGAGAAAAAUAGAGAAAGUAAUUAGGGUUAAAAAAAAAGGGGGGAUGUGAGCGUGAGGAAUUAUACAGGGAUGCUCCCCUGCAGAUUGGCCUGCAGAGCCCAUGGGGACAGCGUGGGCAGGCAGCAGGUCAUCUCUGGGGGUGUGGGGGCUUGGGCCACCUCACCUCUAAGACGCAGCUUAGGCCAGCCAGCCUCCAAGGACCUUUCCAGAUCUGUCUCGGUCUGUGAUUUUGAAAUAAAAAUUUAUUCCAUUUGAGAAGAUUAGCAUUCAAAGGAGGAAGACUUCAGAAGCAGGUGAAAAGGGAGAUGUUUAAAGAAUGAAACGACUGACUACCUGGCCAAAGCCAGGCUGCUGUGUCUAACUGCAUGACUGUUAGAUGCCAUGUGUGCUGGAAAUGAUGCUGAUGUGAGGUAGUGUACCAUUAAGUGGCAGAUUCCCAGACCCCCUGAACCCCUUCAGAGCAAUACUUUUCCUUGCCCCAUAUUCAAGCUGACAUAUCAAACCACCCAGAAUUAUCUUGCUGGCUGUCUUUGAAAACAACGACAGCAACUUUCCAUUAUAUUAUUGAAAAGCAUGGAA
rnacentral:lncRNA from 1 species